GCCAACUUAGCUCAACUGGUAGAGCAACGCACUUGUAAUGCGUAGGUUAUCGGUUCAAGUCCGAUAGUUGGCU
rfam:Bacterium K02(2017) isolate K02 NODE_7_length_37671_cov_438.379, whole genome shotgun sequence.